ACAAUUUAUUAAAUAAGAUAAACAAUUAAAUAAAUAAUUGAAUGACAUGAAAGCACACGAAAAAUACGUUCAAAUAUAUAUACUAUUUAAUUAUGAAAAAUCAAUCUUCAUAUGUCGUUAUUUUACAAAAUUAAACUACAAUAUUUAUUUUUUGGUUUAAGUAAUGUGACCACACAAGACCAGCUGUGUGUGAACAAUUUCAACACGUACACAUAUUUAAAGAAGGGACGCAUCAUGCGAGCUGUCCAUCCUGGUAUUGACCGCAAAGCACGGUACUGGAUCGUCUGUGAUAUGAAAGUGCUUCGCGAAGAUUUUGACGCAACCAUGGUGGUGAAACCCGUCGAUGCAUGGUUCCAACCUCCAACGGCCAGCAACGUCUUCAGGUUUGGAUUCUUGAGCUUAAGAUCGUUGAACUUUUCGAAGUUUCCUUUGGACCAGUCUGUGGAUUCGUCAUUCCAUUCAAAGCUUUUCAGUUUGUUGUCCUCGCACUUGGCGAAAGAGUAGAUAAGACAGAGUUUUGUAUGUGUGUCUGCUUGUGAUUGGUAUUAUAGGCAUCAUCUCAAAGGAAGCACAACUAAUACAACUAUACGUAAGUACAUCACUAACCAGAUGCUUGCUGAGGAAUUUGGAUAAAUGGAUUUCCAA